UUGUGUUUUGGCUUGACUGACUUAAGAAAUUCCUGCGUACUCUUUUCCAAGGAAGCAAGCACAUUUUCAAAUGCUUUGCCAGCCCACACAGGACAGAAUACUUUAGGGAGACUCAUGAUUGAGAGACAGCCUUGGGACCUAGGAGACACGUCUUGCUCUGCAGCUGACUCAGAGAAAGGACCUGAGAAAGCAACUGACUUUGACAGUUGUCCGUUACUCAUUAUGAUUCUGUGUAGUGGGCCUGGGCAGUCAGAUGGACUCAUGCCUCAGCUUCAUCCCAGACCCCGGGACUGCCAACACCGAAUUACACUGGGGGAUGAGAAUUCGCUCUUACAACAAAACAAACAAAAGCAAGACCACAUACUUCUUUGCUGUCUAAUAACCCAACAAACGAAGUACCAGGGAUUGAACUUAGGACCUUGUGCUUGCAAGGCAGGCGUGGUGCCGCUAAGCUAAAUCCCCAGACCUAUAAAUAGAAUUUCUAUACACGCUACAAGAUGGAUGAACCUCAAAAGGAUUAUGCUGAGUGAAAGAAGCUGCACAAAAAAUGUGGUAAGCGAGUUCUGCACUGGCCCAGAGAUCCCUCCAUGAGAACAGCAAUGGCAAGGGUCAUAUACUUCUGCCCGGUGGAAUGGGUGCAAGCUGGGGCUUCCAUCUCUCCCAAGAAGGAGCAAACACAGCAGUGCCAAGGCCUGAACCAGAUUUGGAGGCCAGAAAUCAGGAUGAAAUCGGCGGAACUGGGGCAGACAGAGAGAAAUCAAGGCCCUGAGAAGAAUCCCAGAGCUCUAGAGGAGCUGCAUCCCUUGCUUCUUCCAGCGUCUCCUGUCUGCCGGCAUUCCUCGGUCCUGUUACUGACCCUGAAAUGUGCCUGAAAUCUCCGCCUGCCUCCCUUUAACAGGACACUUGUGACUACAUUUCCAGUUGCCCUUGCCACCCACCAAGAUCCAAUAAAAUCUCAUCUCAAGCGCCUUAAUUUCAUCAUACCAGCAACAAUUCUGUCAAGGAGGACAAAUUUGCCCAGCCCGUGGUUUAGGAGACCAUCCACUUCCAUCCUGCCGCCUUUAUUCAGCCGGGAGAGGGCAGUGCAGCGCAUGUCUUAGGCCACCCAAGGACACAGUGUAAGGAAGGGGCACCCUCCCUUUAAUAUUCACACUCUGCUUGGCUUAGGAUAAAAAGUGCUCCUGCAGUUACUUACUACCCAGCCCUGACAGGAUCCCUGAUAGUUAAAAGUCACCAUCUUUGUUUCCUAAACAGGUGCAUACAGCCUCUUAAGAAUGAUUUUAUUACCAAAAAAAGCCUGUCUAGAUC